rnacentral:rRNA from 1 species
GAGGAAUAUUGGCCAAUGGGCGAGAGCCUGAACCAGCCAAGUAGCGUGCAGGAUGACGGCCCUAUGGGUUGUAAACUGCUUUUGUAUGGGGAUAAAGUCAGUCACGUGUGAUUGUUUGCAGGUACCAUACGAAUAAGGACCGGCUAAUUCCGUGCCAGCAGCCGCGGUAAUACGGAAGGUCCGGGCGUUAUCCGGAUUUAUUGGGUUUAAAGGGAGCGUAGGCUGGAGAUUAAGUGUGUUGUGAAAUGUAGACGCUCAACGUCUGACUUGCAGCGCAUACUGGUUUCCUUGAGUACGCACAACGUUGGCGGAAUUCGUCGUGUAGCGGUGAAAUGCUUAGAUAUGACGAAGAACUCCGAUUGCGAAGGCAGCUGACGGGAGCGCAACUGACGCUGAAGCUCGAAGGUGCGGGUAUCGAACAGGAUUAGAUACCCUGGUAGUCCGCACAGUAAACGAUGGAUGCCCGCUGUUGGUACCUGGUAUCAGCGGCUAAGCGAAAGCAUUAAGCAUCCCACCUGGGGAGUACGCCGGCAACGGUG